rnacentral:rRNA from 1 species
GUCUAUUUGGAGAUAUAAAAAGUCUAACCUGCCCACUGAUUAUUAUUUAAAGGGCCGCGGUAUUAUGACCGUGCAAAGGUAGCAUAAUCAUUAGGUUUUUAAUUGGAAUCUUGUAUGAAUGGUUGAACAAAAAGGAAACUGUCUUUAGAUUAAGUUUUGAAUUUAACUUUUAAGUGAGAAGGCUUAAAUAUUUUAGAGGGACGAUAAGACCCUAUAAAACUUUACAUAAUAGUUAUAUUUUGUUGAAUUUUUAAAUAAAAGUUUAUUUAAUUAUUUGUUUUAUUGGGGAGAUAAAGGUAAAAAUUAUAUUAACUGCUUAAAUAUAAAACAAUUUUAAGUGAAUAGAUAAAAGGUCCUAAGUAUAGAUUUAAAGAUUAAGUUACUUUAGGGAUAACAGUGUUAUUUUUUUUGAGAGUUCAUAUCGAAAAAAGAGUUUGCAACCUCGAUGUUGAAUUAAAAUAUCUAUAUAAUGCAGCUAUUAUAUAAGAAGGUCUGUUCGACCUUUAAAAUUUU